rnacentral:rRNA from 1 species
CUUAACCCGGGAAGUGCUUUUGAUACUGCUUGGCUUGAGUGUGGGAGAGGAUAGUGGAAUUCCAGGUGUAGUGGUGAAAUACGUAGAUAUCUGGAGGAACACCGGUGGCGAAGGCGGCUAUCUGGCCCAACACUGACGCUCAGACCCGAAAGCGUGGGUAGCAAACAGGAUUAGAUACCCUGGUAGUCCACGCCGUAAACAAUGGACACUUGGUGUUGGAGGUAUUGACCCCUUCAGUGCCGGAGCUAACGCGUUAAGUGUCCCGCCUGGGGAGUACGGCCGCAAGGUUAAAACUCAAAGAAAUUGACGGGGGCCCGCACAAGCGGUGGAGCAUGUGGUUUAAUUCGAUGCAACGCGAAGAACCUUACCUGGGCUUGACAUCUAGUGGAAGUGACCUAGAGAUAGGCACGCCUUCGGGUCG